rnacentral:lncRNA from 1 species
UUUUUGGAAAUAAGCCCCACCCUAGUGCGUCGUGUAUCAGAAAAGUUUAGGAACCCUUGUAUUGAGGUAUCCUUAGAGAAAAUCAUGUAUGCAGGGCUGGUUGUGUUUGAAAAAAAAAAUAAAAAGAGAAACAAGAGGUAAAAUUGCCAUAUUUUUAUGAUUUGCCGCUUGUAUUAUUGUAUGUAUUUUUUCAAGAUGUUUUCCAGCAGGGUUGUUAACGUUAAUCAACGAUAAACGCCGUUAACGUUGAUUGUGCUCUGGAUCAACGUCAACGGCGUUGCGUUAGUUUUCAUUGUUGUUAGCGUCAACGUUAACGUGUUUGCGUUAAAUCAACGUCAACGAACACCGCUAACCCAAGCAUUGAUUUUAUGAUUCGUAUAGGUACUCCGAGAAUGUUUCUAAACUUCAAUAAACAACACGUUUCUAUGCCAAUACCUUGUAUCCAUGGAAAAUUGAUGAAAAAAAUCUAAGUUUACAGUGCAUUGCAAUUAUUUGGCAUCCAACAGUCAGCCUAUUUGAACGUCAGUUUGUGAUUAUUUGGGAGAACUUUUACAAAUUGCAAAGAUUUUCUUAGCAAUAAUGUACCCUAAGACCUCUCGCCGUUCCAGUAAGCCACAACAAAGGGCUGAAAUCUUUACCAGAAAGCGGCUUCCUCUGCCUCCAGCCAGCACACGGCGUCCUAUUUUUACCCAUCCACCAACCAAAUGUUUCUGAGUAACCGCCCCCAGGAUGACCCGACUUGUCAUUUCCAAAUACAACUUGUUAUUAUACCCUAACAUACCAUGGCAGACACAAGUUUUCAUAGCAAUCGAAAGUGGAAAUGGUCGUAGAGCAAAUUAUCCCACUUCCGAGAUUGUGGAGCUCUAAUUUGAACAGCAUUUUUCACCAAACCCGACUACGAGAAAGUCAGUUAACAUUCUAUAAAACCUGUAAUGAGAUCAAGCUUUUUUGUUUCUUCUUCCAAAUAAUUGUUUUUGAACAUGACAUGUUGAAGUGUCGUAAGUUUUAUAUUUUUUUAGAUAUUAGAAUCAUCAAAUCGUUAACGUUAGAAAUAACGAAGUCGUUGACGUUAAAUCAACGCUGUACGUUAACGUUAUCGUUAAAUUGUUUUUCAACGCAAUCAACGCAAUCAACGCAAGCUUCGGUAACCGUUACAGGUUAACGUCAACGAAUUAACGAAACGGCGUUAAUCGUUGAUUAACGUUAACAACCCUGUUUUCCAUGAUUUUCAUCAAAAGCAAAUAUAGGUGUUUGCCUAUAGAAUUCAUUUCUUGAUUCUCUGAGAAAUAGACUUUUUGAAGAAUAACAUACUCUAGAGCAGCAUGCUGCCUUUGCCUCUUUGCGAAGCAAUCAGAGAGUCAACGAAAAAAGAGCGAAUCUUUUUUGCUAGUUCGUCCAAGAUUUCAGUUUAGAAAAUUUUCGAGAAAACAAACAAUAAUUUCUCCAGAGAAAGUUCCCCUGAUUUACUCCAGCAUUGUCAUUCAUUUUUUACAAAGAUUUCAACCAAGAAUUUCUCUGAGGUUACCUUUAAAAGUUACUUCAGAGAUUCGUUGCAUGAUUUUUCACAGAAAGUAGCAGAAAUGCGUUCAGCUAUAUUCCAAGGAAGUUCUCAAAGAAAUUUCCCGAGAUUUGUUUUGUAGGGAAUUGUCAAUGACAUUUUUCAAUACGUUAUAGGAGUAAUCUCUGAUGAAACUUUUGUAGAAAUUCCUGAUGAAAUUUUGCGGGGAUUUCUGAAAAACUACCUGAUUUCUAAGAAUGUCUUGAUGUAUUUGUAGUGAUUGGAUAAUAAAUUGAAUCACCUGGAUAUAAUCCUGUAGGAUUUCUACUUGCAUUCCUUGAAGAACAUUGAACAGAAUCUCCUAAGAAACUUGUGUAAAAAUGGGAAUAAUUGAUGUAGUGGUUGCUGGUGUAAAACCUCAAAUGAAAUAUUGAAAAAUGCAAGGAGAUUUGAAUUGGAAAAUUACUUAAGAAGUUUUUGGAAGAACUGCAGGAUUAAUUCGUGCAUAAAUGUUGGGCAAAAUUACUGAUAAAUAAUGGUCAAAUUUAUUGAGUUCCUCUAUACAGAAGAGUUUUAUGUUUCUUAGAAUAGUCCAAGGUAUCUAAAAGGGAGGUAAUACAAUAUGUCAAAUUGCUAAACCCGCCAUAUUGGAUAAGCAUACGACAACUGGCCACUUUGUUUUCAUGGAAUCAUCCAGCAUGCCAUGAAAUCUAGUCUGCUUUUUUUUCUGCACAGUUUGUUUUAUUUGGUACACGAACUGAAACGUCAUGGAUACUACAAUGGAAGUAAAAAAUUGUACAGAAAUCAGUUGGAAGCUUUCUAGGAUAAUGAAGUUCUUUUAUAGGGCACCCUCAAUUGGUUUUGUCAAUCUAAUGCUUGGGAUUUCCUAACUGUAGAAGAAGUUGCAUCGGACAGAGAUAACCGGAGAAAUAGAAUGUGAGCAAGUUUCACCGAGAAACGACUACGAAAGUUCAAUGCCUAAACACGACCCGAUCAAUUAAAUACUAUUUGGUUUAUUCCAUUGGUUCAUCAAUAACAUUAAUUUGUUUCAUCACCGUUAGUCUUAGAUGUUUUAUCUAGUGUUAAGAUUUCUAUCCAGGCAAAUAAAAAUGAAUGAACUGCAACAAUGCUUUAAAUGAA